ACACACACACACACACACACACAAACAUUCCUUUUGAAUUCAAACGAGAAAUACAGCAGCAGUAAUGCUGAGUGUACAUGUUCUCUAGUAUUGCCUUAACUCCAACUGCACAUAAUGAAUCUCUGAAGUGCGAAAGAUUGAAGAUGCAAAAGGACAGGAGGCGCCCAGACACCUGCCACCCUUUUCACCCUGAGGAAAACUCCAUGGAGUGUGGGGGAGCUGUGAAUCUUACCCAGUCUCUCGCUACGACGCUGCUCUGCCUACUUGUGGCGUUGCUCCCCAGGUGACCAGAGCUGACCAUGCCUCUCCACUGAGAACUUUACUUGGCUUGGAUUGGCUCGGCAUGCAAAAGAGUCGCAAUGAUGCCACCGAAAAAAACAAAAAAACAAAACACACUCCUGUCCCGUAUAAAGUUGUGCCCAAUUUCAACUCACCACCUACACAGUCCCUAGCCCUGACGUGCCAUCCUACACGGUGAAUAUCUGAAAGGAUUAAUAAUGGAUACAGCUGCUAAGUAGUAAUAAAUAAGGUGCUUGAGCAAUAUCACGUGACCUGCGCAGAGGUUUUUGAGGAGACAAAGUUUAGCAUCACAUAGUAAUAAUGCUGACAAUGCACUCAGUAGCUUAACAACUGCACAAACCCACAGACACGAGCACCACAAAGGUCAGUCCUUUCAGGUAGCAGUAAUGGGCUGGGUCUGUAGCUGGGCUUGGAACUGGGUAUUAAAGCCACGUAACACCCACACGGAUAAAGACAGAUACACAUGGCCAACUUUGACUUUUUAUGAAGAUAAAAAAAGAAAACACAGAUAAAACUGAUGAUGAUUAUAUGUGGCUGGGUUGUAAUGAAAUGUCUGUCUGUUAAUAUUUAUUUUCCACAAUGAGAAAAUAAAGAGUUCUAGUGUAUGUAUAUAAAAAUAUAUUGUAACAAAAGAGUCUUAUUUAUGAUUUGCAAGUGGUACCCAUAAACUGUGACUAUGAGAUGUCUGAGUCCUCUGAUGUGAGUGGUUGUUAAUAUUUGAGCUUUGCCUUAUUAAACAACAUUGGUCCUGUUUAUGUACUUUUGAAAUAAAAUGAUGUUAAAAAAA